rnacentral:sRNA from 1 species
AACUUGUCUUCAGAGAAUUCGGUUACUUGUUCAAAAUGCUCAGAAGCAACAGAUAGAACUUGCUCUACUCUUUCCCCCCUUCUCACUCCUGCACUUGACUAGUCUUUU